GAUCCGGUGGCAUAGUGGUAGAGCGUCCGCAUCGGAUGCGAGAGGUUGCGGGUUCGAACCACGGCCGAAUCA